rnacentral:rRNA from 1 species
AGAGUUUGAUCAUGGCUCAGGACGAACGCUGGCGGCGUGCCUAAUACAUGCAAGUCGAGCGAAUCUUUGGGAGCUUGCUCCCAUUGGUUAGCGGCGGACGGGUGAGUAACACGUGGGCAACCUGCCUGUAAGACUGGGAUAACACCGGGAAACCGGUGCUAAUACCGGAUAAUCCUUUUCCUCUCAUGAGGGAAAGCUGAAAGAUGGUUUCGGCUGUCACUUACAGAUGGGCCCGCGGCGCAUUAGCUAGUUGGUGAGGUAACGGCUCACCAAGGCGACGAUGCGUAGCCGACCUGAGAGGGUGAUCGGCCACACUGGGACUGAGACACGGCCCAGACUCCUACGGGAGGCAGCAGUAGGGAAUCUUCCGCAAUGGACGAAAGUCUGACGGAGCAACGCCGCGUGAGCGAUGAAGGCCUUCGGGUCGUAAAGCUCUGUUGUUAGGGAAGAACAAGUACCGGAGUAACUGCCGGUACCUUGACGGUACCUAACCAGAAAGCCACGGCUAACUACGUGCCAGCAGCCGCGGUAAUACGUAGGUGGCAAGCGUUGUCCGGAAUUAUUGGGCGUAAAGCGCGCGCAGGCGGUCCUUUAAGUCUGAUGUGAAAGCCCACGGCUCAACCGUGGAGGGUCAUUGGAAACUGGGGGACUUGAGUGCAGAAGAGGAAAGCGGAAUUCCACGUGUAGCGGUGAAAUGCGUAGAGAUGUGGAGGAACACCAGUGGCGAAGGCGGCUUUCUGGUCUGUAACUGACGCUGAGGCGCGAAAGCGUGGGGAGCAAACAGGAUUAGAUACCCUGGUAGUCCACGCCGUAAACGAUGAGUGCUAAGUGUUAGAGGGUUUCCGCCCUUUAGUGCUGCAGCUAACGCAUUAAGCACUCCGCCUGGGGGAGUACGGCCGCAAGGCUGAAACUCAAAGGAAUUG